CGCGUAGGUGGUUCAGUCAGUCAGGUGUGAAAGCCCCGGGCUCAACCUGGGAACUGCACCUGAUACUGCUGAGCUAGAGUACGGUAGAGGGCAGUGGAAUUUCCGGUGUAGCGGUGAAAUGCGUAGAGAUCGGAAGGAACACCAGUGGCGAAGGCGACUGCCCGGACUGAUACUGACACUGAGGUGCGAAAGCGUGGGUAGCAAACA
rnacentral:rRNA from 1 species